rnacentral:rRNA from 1 species
UACGGAGGAGGCGAGCGUUGUUCGGAAUCACUGGGCUUAAAGCGCGUGUAGGCGGGGCGGGAGGUGCCAGAGUGAAAUCCCUCGGCUCAACCGAGGAAUUGCUCGGCAAACCAUCGUCCUUGAGGCAGGUAGAGGCAACCGGAACUAUGGGUGGAGCGGUGAAAUGCGUAGAUAUCCAUGGGAACGCCUGUGGCGAAAGCGGGUUGCUGGGCCUGUCCUGACGCUGAGACGCGAAAGCGUAGGUAGCAAACGGG